UACGUAGGUGGCAAGCGUUGUCCGGAAUUAUUGGGCGUAAAGCGCGCGCAGGUGGUUUCUUAAGUCUGAUGUGAAAGCCCACGGCUCAACCGUGGAGGGUCAUUGGAAACUGGGGAACUUGAGUACAGAAGAGGAAAGUGGAAUUCCAAGUGUAGCGGUGAAAUGCGUAGAGAUUUGGAGGAACACCAGUGGCGAAGGCGACUUUCUGGUCUGUAACUGACACUGAGGCGCGAAAGCGUGGGGAGCGAACAGG
rnacentral:rRNA from 1 species